rnacentral:tRNA from 1 species
GGAGGGGUGGCCGAGUGGCUGAAGGCGACGGUUUGCUAAAUCGUUGUACGGUUAAUCCCGUACCGUGGGUUCGAAUCCCAUCCCCUCCUCCA